GAGUUUGAUCUUGGCUCAGAUUGAACGCUGGCGGCAGGCCUAACACAUGCAAGUCGAGCGGAUGACGGGAGCUUGCUCCUUGAUUCAGCGGCGGACGGGUGAGUAAUGCCUGGGAAUCUGCCUGGUAGUGGGGGACAACGUUUCGAAAGGAACGCUAAUACCGCAUACGUCCUACGGGAGAAAGCAGGGGACCUUCGGGCCUUGCGCUAUCAGAUGAGCCUAGGUCGGAUUAGCUAGUUGGUGGGGUAAUGGCUCACCAAGGCGACGAUCCGUAACUGGUCUGAGAGGAUGAUCAGUCACACUGGAACUGAGACACGGUCCAGACUCCUACGGGAGGCAGCAGUGGGGAAUAUUGGACAAUGGGCGAAAGCCUGAUCCAGCCAUGCCGCGUGUGUGAAGAAGGUCUUCGGAUUGUAAAGCACUUUAAGUUGGGAGGAAGGGCAGUAAGUUAAUACCUUGCUGUUUUGACGUUACCGACAGAAUAAGCACCGGCUAACUCUGUGCCAGCAGCCG
rnacentral:rRNA from 2 species